ACUUCAAGAAAGGUAAAACCACAAGUGAACCACACACAAAAAAUUGUGCAGUGUAUGGAGAAGGUGCUGUGACUGAUGGAACAUGUCAAAAGUGAUUUGCAAAGUUUUGUGCCAAAGAUUUCUCAAUGGACAAUGCUCCAUGCUCAGGUAGACCAGUUGAAGUUGUUAGUGAUCAAACUGAGAUAUUAAUUCAGAAC